UACGGAGGGUGCAAGCGUUAUCCGGAAUCACUGGGUUUAAAGGGUGCGUAGGCGGCUAUGUAAGUCAGUUGUGAAAUACCUCGGCUUAACCGAAGGAAGUGCGAUUGAUACUGCGUAGCUUGAAUCAGGUUGAGGUAGGCGGAAUGUGGCAUGUAGCGGUGAAAUGCUUAGAUAUGGGGAGGAACACCGGUGGCGAAGGCGGCCAUCUGGACGGAUACUGACGCUGAGACGCGAAAGCGUGGGUAGCAAACAGG
rnacentral:rRNA from 1 species